GAGGGGGAUGGUUGUUAUUGAACAAGACAAUGUCUUAACAGAUCUUGGCAACUCCUUUAAAGAUAAUAGAUCUUUACGAUUAAUUUACCUACCCUAUUUGCUCUCCUGCCUUUGUAGCCCCGUUUGCGAUGUCUUGCUCAUAUAGUUCGGAGGUUGGAGGAUCCUGUACAGUUCAUUCAAACGAUUAUUCCAGAGGUCAUACUCUGUACCAAAGAAGUUGCAGUCAAAGCUCGUUCGUCGGCGUUCACUUUACUGAUCGAGUGCUGUAACGCCAGUUUCCGUUCUUCGGGAAAGACAAGACAAGAAUGUCUGACGUCAUUCUUGGAGUUGGUGGUUGCUGGUAUCGCGGGCUCACCUCACAUGAUCAGCGCAACUAUAAUUUCCGUGUCUAGAGUGGUGUACGAGUUUCGAAACGAGAUUCCCAGUGUAAUCCUGGAGCAGCUUAUUCAGGGAAUUCUUGUUUGCCUGAGAUCUGUUGCUAGGGAGGUGAUAAAGUCCUGUCUUGGUUUCUUUAA